rnacentral:rRNA from 1 species
AGAGUUUGAUCAUGGCUCAGAUUGAACGCUGGCGGCAGGCUUAACACAUGCAAGUCGAGCGGAGAGAGGUAGCUUGCUACUGAUCUUAGCGGCGGACGGGUGAGUAAUGCUUAGGAAUCUGCCUAUUAGUGGGGGACAACAUCUCGAAAGGGAUGCUAAUACCGCAUACGUCCUACGGGAGAAAGCAGGGGAUCUUCGGACCUUGCGCUAAUAGAUGAGCCUAAGUCGGAUUAGCUAGUUGGUGGGGUAAAGGCCUACCAAGGCGACGAUCUGUAGCGGGUCUGAGAGGAUGAUCCGCCACACUGGGACUGAGACACGGCCCAGACUCCUACGGGAGGCAGCAGUGGGGAAUAUUGGACAAUGGGGGGAACCCUGAUCCAGCCAUGCCGCGUGUGUGAAGAAGGCCUUAUGGUUGUAAAGCACUUUAAGCGAGGAGGAGGCUACUUUAGUUAAUACCUAGAGAUAGUGGACGUUACUCGCAGAAUAAGCACCGGCUAACUCUGUGCCAGCAGCCGCGGUAAUACAGAGGGUGCAAGCGUUAAUCGGAUUUACUGGGCGUAAAGCGCGCGUAGGCGGCUAAUUAAGUCAAAUGUGAAAUCCCCGAGCUUAACUUGGGAAUUGCAUUCGAUACUGGUUAGCUAGAGUGUGGGAGAGGAUGGUAGAAUUCCAGGUGUAGCGGUGAAAUGCGUAGAGAUCUGGAGGAAUACCGAUGGCGAAGGCAGCCAUCUGGCCUAACACUGACGCUGAGGUGCGAAAGCAUGGGGAGCAAACAGGAUUAGAUACCCUGGUAGUCCAUGCCGUAAACGAUGUCUACUAGCCGUUGGGGCCUUUGAGGCUUUAGUGGCGCAGCUAACGCGAUAAGUAGACCGCCUGGGGAGUACGGUCGCAAGACUAAAACUCAAAUGAAUUGACGGGGGCCCGCACAAGCGGUGGAGCAUGUGGUUUA